AACGAACGCUGGCGGCAUGCCUAACACAUGCAAGUCGAACGAGACCUUCGGGUCUAGUGGCGCACGGGUGCGUAACGCGUGGGAACCUGCCCUUAGGUUCGGAAUAACUCCCCGAAAGGGGCGCUAAUACCGGAUAAUGUCUUCGGACCAAAGAUUUAUCGCCUUUGGAUGGGCCCGCGUUGGAUUAGCUAGUUGGUAGGGUAAAAGCCUACCAAGGCGACGAUCCAUAGCUGGUCUGAGAGGAUGAUCAGCCACACUGGGACUGAGACACGGCCCAGACUCCUACGGGAGUCAGCAGUGGGGAAUAUUGGACAAUGGGCGAAAGCCUGAUCCAGCAAUGCCGCGUGAGUGAUGAAGGCCUUAGGGUUGUAAAGCUCUUUUACCCGGGAUGAUAAUGACAGUACCGGGAGAAUAAGCUCCGGCUAACUCCGUG
rnacentral:rRNA from 1 species